AUUGAACGCUGGCGGCAUGCUUUACACAUGCAAGUCGAACGGUAACAGGCCGCAAGGUGCUGACGAGUGGCGAACGGGUGAGUAAUGCAUCGGAACGUGCCCAGUCGUGGGGGAUAACGCAGCGAAAGCUGCGCUAAUACCGCAUACGAUCUAUGGAUGAAAGCGGGGGACCGUAAGGCCUCGCGCGAUUGGAGCGGCCGAUGUCAGAUUAGGUAGUUGGUGGGGGAAAGGCUCACCAAGCCAACGAUCUGUAGCUGGUCUGAGAGGACGACCAGCCACACUGGGACUGAGACACGGCCCAGACUCCUACGGGAGGCAGCAGUGGGGAAUUUUGGACAAUGGGCGCAAGCCUGAUCCAGCAAUGCCGCGUGCAGGAAGAAGGCCUUCGGGUUGUAAACUGCUUUUGAACGGAACGAAACGGUCCUGGUUAAUACCCGGGGCUAAUGACGGUACCGUAAGAAUAAGCACCGGCUAACUACGUGCCAGCCGCCGCCGUAACAC
rnacentral:rRNA from 1 species